CCCAUUGCACAUAUCUUUUUGUUGACAUGAAACUGGUGUUGUUGUAAGGUCUGAAGAACUAUUUCCAAAUGAUGCAAAUGAUCCAACUAUGUUUUGCUGUAAAUAAGAAUAUCAUCGAAAAAAAACAGCACAAAGCAUCUCAAAAACGGGCGAAAUAUAUCAUUCAUAGUGGCUUGGAAGGUGGCAAGGGUAUUUGUUAACCCAAACAACAUAACAAGGAACUCGUAAUGGCUAGAAUGAAUCCAAAAACCUCAGUCUUGACCUGAAACUGAUGGUAGCCCGAACACAAGUCAAUCUUAGAAAAAUAGGCUACCCCAUGUCAUUUAUCAAGCAACUCCUGAAUCACCACAAUAGGGUACUUAGCAGGAAUCGUGGCUCUAUUCAAUUUGCAGUAGUCCACACAAAACCUCUAACUCCCAUCUUUUUUUUCGAACAAGUAGAACUGAACUAGAGUACGGGCUAGUGCUGGGGUGUAGAAUACUAGCUGCCAACAUUUUUGAAACCAAUCAUUCUAUCUCAUCCUUUUGAUGGUGGCUUGCAAUGGAAUACCAUGGUCAGUUGCCCGAGAAGGUGGUAAAUUAUUAGAUUCAGUAAACACAGAAGAAUAUCUGGCUAAUGAUACAUUGAGUUGAUCAGUUUGAGAAGAAGAAAUAGACCAAAAAAGUUCCUCAGAUGUGCGAAGCAAGGAUGAGCAAUCCAAAAGUAGAAUACCAUACUCAGCAUCCGCCAUUUUAAUAAGAGAAUGGAAUGAAAUGGGGGAGUGGAUCAAAGAAGGAUUCCAUAUGCUAGUAAUUUCACGUCCUCCCUAUGAAAAUUUCAUAGACAUUUUCUGCCAAUUAACACAAACAUCACCUAGCAUUUCCAACCAAGAAAUACCUAAAAUUAUGUUGACGCCCACUAAUGGAAAUACAUAACAGUCAAUGGAGAUAGAAAAAUCACUUAGAAUAAUAGAAAGAGCCUUACAGAGCCCAGAAGAAGUUUCACAAUGCCCAUCCCCCAAUCACACCAUAAAAGGAGAAGUCACCUGAGUUUGCAACAGUAACCAAUUUUUCAGAAACAAAAUAAUGGCUAGCACCACUAUCCAGCAUUACAAUGACUGGAGCAUUAGCUACCAUGCCCUGUAAUUUCAUAGUCUCCCAUCGAAAAGGAAGGUCCAUUUGAGUGAAAUGGGACUUAAUUACCACUAAAGAAUCUACUGAAGGAGCAAAAAUUUCAAUAGAGCCCAAAUCCCCAAUACCUGACAAGUUAUCAUCUUUGCUAGUAAUUAGAAAACACAAGGACUUAUUAGGGCAUUGGUGCAAUGGAGAAUAUGGAAGCUUGCAGCAAAAACAGAGGCCCUUAGCAUGAAGAUCUUAGGGUUCUUGAUUUGAAUAGUGGCAAUAAUUUUUGCGCUUGAGACUCUCUGGUGGUGUUGGUGUAGUAGAA
rnacentral:misc_RNA from 1 species